UAGUACGGCGAGCGAAAGGGAUAAGCCCAGCGCUGAAUCUUACGUCCCACGGGCGUAAUGACAUGUAGCGUUUGGGACGAAACAUUGCUUGUACUAAAUUGAUCAUCUAAGUCCUUCUUGAACGGGGCCAUAGCCCAUGGAGGGUGCUAGGCCCGUAUGAUGAUUAUUGUUGUACGAUGCGUUUCGUCCGUAGAGUCGGGUUGCUUGGGAGUGCAGCCCAAAUCAGGUGGUAAACUCCAUCUAAGGCUAAAUAUGACCACGAGACCGAUAGCGAACAAGUACCGUGAGGGAAAGUUGAAAAGAACUUUGAAGAGAGAGUUCAAUAGUACGUGAAACCUCUCGGGGGUAAGCGGGCAGAACUUGCAAGUAUUGGCAAGAGAUUCAGACUUGAGUUUAGUAGUUGAGUACUUUUGUUAAGUUGUUCAUUCGUGAACUGACUGAUGUAUGUACUUUAUUCUAUUAAAAAUGUGUCGCACUUCUCUUUGUCAUCCGGGUUGCAUGCAACUGAUUUUUGGUAGUUUAGGUUUUGAGAAUCUGUGCGUCUUUCAUUCGUGAUUGAUUCAAGUCUUAAAUUUCCAACUACUAAUGCGGUUGUAAGAAAAUAGCGAACAAGCGUUUGACGCGGUCAAUUAUUUUUACGAGUCGUGUACGUAAUUUAUAUGGACGAGUAAUCGUAGUAUAUUUUAUGUACUGGUUGUCAGUAAAAGUUAUUUUGGCAUUGUUCAGUAUUGCAAUCUAAAGCAUGCGUGG
rnacentral:sRNA from 1 species